rnacentral:rRNA from 1 species
CCCUUAGAUGUUCUGGGCCGCACGCGUGCUACACUGAGUGGAUCAGCGGGUCAGGUUGCGCGAAAGUGUUUCCUAAUCUUGAAAUCCGCUCGUGAUGGGGAUUGACGGUUGCAAUUUUCCGUCAUGAACGAGGAAUACCUUGUAAGCGCGGGUCAUCAUCCCGCGCUGAAUACGUCCCUGCCCUUUGUACACACCGCCCGUCACUCCUACCGAUUGAGUGGUCCGGUGAGGCUUUGGGAUCUGAGCAAAGAGAGCGUUUCGCUCGUUUUGCCCGGAAAACUCAGUCGAACCUUAUCAUUUAGAGGAAGGAGAAGUCGUAACA